rnacentral:rRNA from 1 species
UACAGAGGUCCCAAGCGUUGUUCGGAUUCACUGGGCGUAAAGGGUGCGUAGGCGGUCGGGUAAGUCUGAUGUGAAAUCUCACAGCUUAACUGUGAAACUGCAUUGGAUACUAUCCGGCUCGAGGAAUGGAGGGGAGACUGGAAUACUUGGUGUAGCAGUGAAAUGCGUAGAUAUCAAGUGGAACACCAGUGGCGAAGGCGAGUCUCUGGACAUUUCCUGACGCUGAGGCACGAAAGCCAGGGGGAGCAAAACGGG